rnacentral:rRNA from 1 species
AUGGCCGCGGUUCUUCCUGCGCUGCUGCCAACCCCACCGUCGGCCCCAAUCGCUACGUUGCUCAAGACACCGCGGACGGACGGGAAGCCUGGCCGUGCGUCGGCGAGCCGGAGAUGGAUAGAUAACAGAUUUAUGAUUCUGGCCGCCGCGUCGGACUUGACCGGCGGUGAGCGCGUCGGACGCGUGCUGUCGGAGAUGAGCGGAGGCGAGCGAGUCAAACGCGUGGCAUCGGACAUGGGCGGCGGCGACCGUGCCGGACGCGUGGCAUUGGGCAUGGGCGGCGGUGACCGCGCCGGUCGCGAGGAGUCCCGAACCAGCUGGAGCGCUGUCAAGAGGCCUGCGAGCCGCGCCCCUUCCACUGACCGGUGUGACAAGAAGCCCAAGGCUCCGGUCGACAAGGAAGCUGCUCCGGAGGCAGAGCAACUGUUCGCUGGUCCGACGUUCAUGAGCGUGGUGCCCCCGGAUCCCAGCGAGCUCCCGAUCCCUUGCUACUUCAUGAAGAAGGCCCGCUAG